rnacentral:hammerhead_ribozyme from 1 species
AUUUAGUUGACAAGUUCCAAAUAGGAUGAAACGCACGUCCUGGAU